UACGUAGGGUGCGAGCGUUAAUCGGAAUUACUGGGCGUAAAGCGUGCGCAGGCGGUUCCUCAAGUCCGUUGUGAAAGCCCCGGGCUCAACCUGGGAACAGCGCUUGAGACUGGCACGCUCGAGUUCGGGAGAGGAUGGUGGAAUUCCCAGUGUAGAGGUGAAAUUCGUAGAUAUUGGGAAGAACACCGAUGGCGAAGGCAGCCAUCUGGACCGACACUGACGCUGAGGCGCGAAAGCGUGGGGAGCAAACAGG
rnacentral:rRNA from 1 species